rnacentral:rRNA from 1 species
GACGAACGCUGGCGGCGUGCUUAACACAUGCAAGUCGAACGGCAAGGCCCUGCUUGCGGGGUACUCGAGUGGCGAACGGGUGAGUAACACGUGGGUGAUCCGCUCUGUACUUCGGGUUAUGCCUGGGAAACUGGGUCUAAUAUCGGUAAGGAGCCCAUUUUAGGGUGAUGGUUGGAAAGUUUUUUCGGUGUAGGAUGGGUACGCGGCCGAUCCGCUUUUUGGUGGGGUAAUGGCCUACCAAGGCGGCGACGGGUAGCCGGCCGGAGAGGGUGGACGGCCACACUGGGACUGGGAUACGGCCCGGACUCCGACGGGGGGCAGCCGUGGGGAAUAUUGCACAAUGGGCGCAAGCCUGGUGCAGCGAGUCCGCGUGGGGAAUGACGGCCGUCGGGUUGUGAACUCCUUUCGCUAAGGGCGAAGCUGUUUGUGACGGUACCUAGACAAGAAGCACCGGCUAACUACGUG